CAAAUUCGUAUCUAGGGGAAUA
rnacentral:miRNA from 8 species